UCACAUGUUAUUUUUUAUGGAAUGAAAUCUAUCAAUAUCUUCCUUUAUGGUUUGGGUGAUGUUUCAGGGUGUUCAAUCAUCCCCAUUUGCAUGGAACUGUUCAGUUUUAGCACUGAAAGUCCCACAUCCUGGGAAAUUCCUCAGUCCCGGGCAAAUCAGAACAGUUGGUCACCUUAGAAGCCAUGGACUCUCAUACUUCAAAAAUUACCAAUAGUCUCGCAACCAGUUCUCUCCUUUCAUUCUCAUCCCUCCUCUCUUGCUGAAUUAUUAUCCAAAAUACAAAAGAACAAACUCACAGACUGGUAGGAACCUACAUCUUUAAUCCUAACCCCCGUUACCUGCUUUGGAUAUCCAACACUCUAACCAAAUAGGCUUAAUUAAAUAUGAUUCCCCAAACACCCCCACCCCAGGUGUCUCAGUCACUCUGUGCUGUUAUAAAUGACUAUAUACUGGGUGGCUUAGACAACAGAGAUUUAUUUCUCACUGUUCUAGAGGCCGGGAAGUCAGAUCAGGGCGCCAGCAUGGUCGGCUCUGGCCUAGAUUCUUCUGUGUAAAAAUGGAGACUUCAUUUUGCCCU
rnacentral:lncRNA from 10 species